AUUGAACGCUGGCGGCAGGCCUAACACAUGCGAGUCGAGCGGAUGAAGGGAGCUUGCGCCUGGAUUCAGCGUCGGACGGGUGAGUAAUGCCUAGGAAUAUGCCUGGUAGGGGGGGAUAACGUCCGGAAACGGGCGCUAAUACCGCAUACGUCCUGAGGGAGAAAGAGGGGGAGCUUCGGACCUCACGCGAUCAGAUGAGCGUAGGUCGGAUUAGCUAGUUGGUGGGGUAAAGGCCUACCAAGGCGAGUAUCCGUAACUGGUCGGAGAGGCUGAUCAGUCACACGGGAACUGAGCCACGGUCCAGACUCCUACGGGAGGCAGCAGUGGGGUAUAUUGGACAAUGGGCGAAAGCCUGAUCCAGCCAUGCCGCGUGUGUUAAGAAGGUCUUCGGAUUGUAAAGCACUUUAAGUUGGGAGGAAGGGCAGUAAGUUAAUACCUUGCUGUUUUGACGUUACCAACAGAAUAAGCACCGGCUAACUUCGUG
rnacentral:rRNA from 1 species